rnacentral:tRNA from 1 species
AGGGGAUAUGGUUUAGUGGUAUAACGCUUCUUUAGCACCUGAUCAUCUGAUCAAGUACGAUUUAGAAGAGGUCCGGCGUUCGAUUCGCCGUUUCUCCA